rnacentral:rRNA from 1 species
GACGAACGCUGGCGGCGUGCUUAACACAUGCAAGUCGAACGCUGAAGCUCAGCUUUUGUUGGGUGGAUGAGUGGCGAACGGGUGAGUAACACGUGAGUAACCUGCCUCCUUCUUUGGGAUAACGCCCGGAAACGGGUGCUAAUACUGGAUAUUCACUGGUCUUCGCAUGGGGGUUGGUGGAAAGGGUUUUUCUGGUGGGGGAUGGGCUCGCGGCCUAUCAGCUUGUUGGUGGGGUGAUGGCCUACCAAGGCGUUGACGGGUAGCCGGCCUGAGAGGGUGACCGGUCACAUUGGGACGGAGAUACGGCCCAGACUCCUACGGGAGGCAGCAGUGGGGAAUAUUGCACAAUGGGCGCAAGCCUGAUGCAGCGACGCCGCGUGAGGGAUGGAGGCCGUCGGGUUGUGAACCUCUUUCGCUCAUGGUCAAGCCGCAACAAUGGUUGUGGUGAGGGUAGUGGGUAAAGAAGCGCCGGCUAACUACGUG